rnacentral:rRNA from 1 species
GAUGAACGCUGGCGGCGUGCCUAAUACAUGCAAGUCGAGCGAACAGACGAGGAGCUUGCUCCUUUGACGUUAGCGGCGGACGGGUGAGUAACACGUGGAUAACCUACCUAUAAGACUGGGAUAACUUCGGGAAACCGGAGCUAAUACCGGAUAACAUGUUGAACCGCAUGGUUCAACAGUGAAAGACGGUUUUGCUGUCACUUAUAGAUGGAUCCGCGCCGCAUUAGCUAGUUGGUAAGGUAACGGCUUUCCAAGGCAACGAUGCGUAGCCGACCUGAGAGGGUGAUCGGCCACACUGGAACUGAGACACGGUCCAGACUCCUACGGGAGGCAGCAGUAGGGAAUCUUCCGCAAUGGGCGAAAGCCUGACGGAGCAACGCCGCGUGAGUGAAGAAGGUCUUCGGAUCGUAAAACUCUGUUAUUAGGGAAGAACAAAUGUGUAAGUAACUAUGCACGUCUUGACGGUACCUAAUCAGAAAGCCACGGCUAACUACGUG